rnacentral:lncRNA from 1 species
GAAACUUUUCCCCUCCAACGCGGCCAGGCCGUGGCUGCCGCCGGACCCGGCGGACCGCUACGCGACCGCAUCGUCACCCCACCAGCUGAUGGGCGUAGAACCAUCCCUUCCGCCCCGCAUUGCCGGAGGCCGGGGGCGGAAUGCGGCAGCGGCCGCGCUGGGCCGCGCAAACAUCCGCAGGGGAGGACGCGGCGCGGCGAAACCACGGAGCGGCGCAGCAGCGCGACCAGCGGAGAGUCCAUGAGACCCAGGUGCCUCCGCCGGCGCGGGUGGACCCAGCCGGGCCACCUGGCACCGCCCCUGCGAGCUCAUCUUCUUCAUUACCUGUUACGAUCACCUGGCCGGCCGACUCCCACCGUUCGGCGCCGCCUGUCACUUGGAGGGGAACAACAACAACCCCUCUGGGCAGCAAUCAGGGCAGGCCGGCGGCCGGACGGACCGUUACUAGGUCGAGUCGGCGGCACCAUCUACUUCCUCGUUCUGCUCUGCACUGUUCUGCUCUGUCCUGUUCUGCCCUGCCAUGUUCUGUGCGCUCUGUCCUGCGGGACUAGCCUUGCGUGCCGCGCCCGAGGCAAAUGCCAACCGCCGGAGGCGCGGUAUAUAAGCUGAGUCCCGCAGUGAUCUCGCUCUCUUCGCUCUCCACUCGGGAGCUACGUUGGACUGCCCAGUGCGCGACGUGUGCGUCCAUACCUCCUACCCAAUAUCAUAUCUACCCGGAGUUCGGAAUCGCUCUGUCAUCUAUAUUCAUCGGAGGGAUGUGGGAAACUUUUCCCCUCCAACGCGGCCAGGCCGUGGCUGCCGCCGGACCCGGCGGACCGCUACGCGACCGCAUCGUCACCCCACCAGCUGAUGGGCGUAGAACCAUCCCUUCCGCCCCGCAUUGCCGGAGGCCGGGGGCGGAAUGCGGCAGCGGCCGCGCUGGGCCGCGCAAACAUCCGCAGGGGAGGACGCGGCGCGGCGAAACCACGGAGCGGCGCAGCAGCGCGACCAGCGGAGAGUCCAUGAGACCCAGGUGCCUCCGCCGGCGCGGGUGGACCCAGCCGGGCCACCUGGCACCGCCCCUGCGAGCUCAUCUUCUUCAUUACCUGUUACGAUCACCUGGCCGGCCGACUCCCACCGUUCGGCGCCGCCUGUCACUUGGAGGGGAACAACAACAACCCCUCUGGGCAGCAAUCAGGGCAGGCCGGCGGCCGGACGGACCGUUACUAGGUCGAGUCGGCGGCACCAUCUACUUCCUCGUUCUGCUCUGCACUGUUCUGCUCUGUCCUGUUCUGCCCUGCCAUGUUCUGUGCGCUCUGUCCUGCGGGACUAGCCUUGCGUGCCGCGCCCGAGGCAAAUGCCAACCGCCGGAGGCGCGGUAUAUAAGCUGAGUCCCGCAGUGAUCUCGCUCUCUUCGCUCUCCACUCGGGAGCUACGUUGGACUGCCCAGUGCGCGACGUGUGCGUCCAUACCUCCUACCCAAUAUCAUGUAAGUAAAAGGGUGCGGCCCUUAUUUGGGGCAGUGUAUAUAGCCAUGAUCAAUGUAUAAUAAUGUGUGCAUAUGUAAAUAAUUACCUUGAAAACUU